CAAGGACCACAUCCUAGUUUUGCUUUUGCUUUAUUCCAUACCAUGGUUUGUUCACCUAGAAAAUAAUAAUAAUAGCAGCAACUUGUUUAUCUGGCUGUGUGGUCAACAGACUUUAGUAAAGGUUGUUUGUAUAUUAUUUUGAGAUUCUGCGAUAAAAAUUGCGGUACCAAAUAGUUUAUUUUAACCUGAUUUGUGCAUGUGCUAAUAUAGUCAUAUACAUAUAGGUUCACAGGAUCAGUUAACAGUUACUGCUCUUAAGCUGUCCACAGCUACUGUACGUGACAAUGCCAUAAAAUGAGGGACCCACAGAUUCUAGAGGUAGCUCUUGAACCAUCAGUCAUAGUGAGUGGAAAAUGGAGCUAUAAAAAUAUGUAUUGACAUUGGAGCGUGAUCAAAUGAGUUUAAGCAAUAUCCUCGAGAAGUAAAUUUACAUCUGCAUUUGCAUAUACCAUUUAUGCCAAAUAGAUCCCAUUGACUUAGUUCCCAUUAUUAUAUUUUGCAUUUGACCAUUAGAUGACACAGGGCUAAAUUAUUAUUUAAGACAGUAAAUAUUAUAGAGGAUAAACGACAAUACUGUACUCUGUCAAUUCUGUUUCUAUUCACAGCAAUGAAACUGCAUUAUCAUUGCAACAAACUAAUUUCAUUUUGUUACAGAUUGCAGUGUGCCUGUAGCAGACACUAAUACAAAUUAAUUAAAGUACAUCGAUUGUAACAAAAAUGAAGUGCAAACUAUUUAAAACUUCCUAAGUGAUUAGAUAUAAUAAAAGUUUGCAGACACAAUUGCGCAGCUGGCAAACCAAAGUCAAAAGAAAACAAUCACCCCACUCUAGAUGUACAGAACCUGGCUCCUAACCUCGGCUUUUAAACUUGAAGCUUGACAAACAAUAAUUCUCCUGUGAUCUGGACAGGUGGCAGUCCCAUCACGGAGCACUUGCCAGCAUUACCACUCUCCUCAUUUAGACUUUACAUCAAGUCUGUGUAAGCCCUGGCUUGAAAUCAGAUUCUUGUCUAUAAGCAAAGACAAAGACUAACACUUAUUUAUUAACACUAGUUUUAAGAAACAAAGGUAUUACAUAAAGGACCAGUGCUCGUUUAGAUUACACAGUGUUUUAAAGGGACAUGUGAUACACUAGAGGACUAUUUAUAUGUACGUUUGAAAGGAACCGUUGAUUACCUCAAAUAAUUCUUAUCCUAAACACACAAACACUGCUAGCAAGGUACAGAAAAACAAUUUUACAAUAGCAUAAAAUAAUAACACUGUUUUGUUUGUGGCUACACAAAAGGAUUGAAGAGUAUAAUUUUACUCUCUUAGACCAAAUGAAGUCCUAAAUUGGAAAAGCAGCUCCAUCCAAGGUCGCCUCUGUUGUUUCCAAAAAUAUCUUGAAACAAACGCAAGAGGGGCACUUUGUUGGGUGUUAUCUAGACAUAUAUAGUUUCAAUCAAAUUCUUCAAGAAGUGUCAGAAUAAAAGUCGAACAUUUGUUUGACGCUGCCAAGUCCCUAGCAAGUGAAUCCCUUCAAAGGUUGAAAAUAACUUUGACAACAGAAUUAAGAAUUAUAGGAUGUUUUCUUUACGCUUGAAAAAAGCCACAUAUAUUCGGGAUGGAAUUGUAAACACUUAUGAGAAAUUUCAUCAAAUGAUUGUAUAAUUCUUUCCGCUACACCGGGUGAAGUGUUACAGGGUUGUGUUAAUGAUCCUAGGAAAAUAUUUAUAGUGCUUUUUCCAGGAUAAGAGUUCUCUCUUCUCCUCUCGUUAUAUUUUCUGAUCAGCCUUCACUUCAUGCAAUUAAAUCAACAAGCAGAAAAGAACCUUCAGUGUAUAGAGAUUUUAAAGCGAUGCAUUUCACAUACAAAUGGCUGAAGUACAGUGUGCUAAAUACAAAAUACAAAAGGAAUAGCAGGCACACCACUAACAACCCACUAGGAAGUAUGCCACAUUCCAUCUCUUUGUCAGAAGGAUUCAGGUUUUCCUCUCAUUUUUAGCUGUGGGAGAUAUUUUCCUAAGGAGAUUUGAGACGAUUUUGUCAUUGCCCAUGAGAUAAUAAAUUCCCAAUUUUCGUUGCUGUCCUCUGAACAUUAACUGCAUCUCUCUCUGUUUCCUGACUCACUCAUGCAGAUACCUGAGCGCUCUAAUCAGCCUACAUAAAAUGAAAAUGAAGCAGAGAAAUCCUUUAGGACGAAAGAUGCAGUAUAAAUGUAAAAGUAUUAGUGGAACAGGUUGUCUGUGGGUGACUUUCAGUGUUCUGAUACAGUUCUGUUUUCUUUUAAAUAUGCUGUGAAAACAUGGCAAGCUUUAAAACAUGGAAAAAGGGAGGUGGGUACAAUGUCUUAUAUAUACUCUACAAAAAAUCAGUUUCUGAAUGUUGCAGUCCACAGGAUGCUGUCUCAGAGAAAUGCAUCAUUUAAAUGCUAGCUGAUACGCAAAAUGCAUCAUUUUCACAUGAUUUUUAAUUUUUAGAUCUUCAGUUUUUAGAAUUCCAAAUUAAUCAACCCUUUUUGCUUUUGCUAAUUCAUCACUAAUGGCUCUGAGAUUUAUGUGCUAACUCCAAAGAAAUGCCUAAACACUGUUACUUGCCAGAAAAUGCUGCAAUAAUGUAAACCAAAUAAACUGCUUUAUUCCUCCCAUUUUAUAACCUUAGAGUUUCAACAUAUUUAAAAAACAGUAAUCUGUUAAAAAAUUGCAUUCAAAUUUAUUUUAAUUGCAGAAAAUCUCAAUCAAUUUUUUUUUUUUUUUCAGGAUGAACCAGUUUUAAAAUCUAUAAUGAAGAAAUUGUGAGAUUAUUUCCUUUAUUAUUUCCCUUACAUGGUUAUCUUUGUAUAAGAUGUACGCCUUUAUAGUUUUGUUGUUGCUUCCUAAAUGCCAGGCAUAUUUUCUAUUCCAUUAGAGGAAAAAGAAGUAGGGAGAGAGAAGAGAAUUUAUCUUUGAAAAUUGGUAAGAUCCAUUUUCCAUACUCCUAUCAACUGCAUUUUUUCCGGUAUUAGCAAAAUGUGCAGGAUUUGGCUUUAUCCUGUUUCAGAAGUAGACCUAAUUAAGUGCUUAUUGUCUAAAUGAGUGUUUUUAAGACCUGAGCAGUUGCAAUAAAAUUUAGAAGCUUAAAAAUGAAAUGUUAUUCUGUAAUGACAGACUGAGCUGAAACGGUGCAAUAGGCAUUGGCUUGUGCAGAUCCUCUUGCAGAAAAAGUACUCUAGUUCUUGGCAUUCAGCAAGUGCCAGUUGUGUGCAUCCCAAUCUGCAAAAACAUACUUUUCUCCAAACUAUGAGAAAUGGAGAUUUAAUAAAAAGGUAGAAAUAUACUUCUUAUUUUUAUAAUAAAUAAAAAUAAUACUGCUAAAUACAAGGUAAUGCAUAAGGCUGCAUUUUAAACCCUAUAAAUACUCCAGGACUAGAUUUGUGCAAGACAGCCUCUCAUAGAUGUCUAAUAAAAAUCAAAUCGUAUUGCUAACUGCUUGUGGACUCUGGUUGUGCUGAGAAAAACUUGCACAAACAAUUUUUGUUAUAAAUUAGAAUGUGUCUAAUGGAACAUUGAUUUGUGUUGGAUGGAAGUCAUUACUUUAAAGAUAAUUAUAGUUCUUUUUUUUCCUCUCUGUCUCAUAAAUCUGAUGCUGGCCCUUUUAAUUCCUACUUGUUCUGUCAGGAGGAAGAAUACAGAGCUAAAUCCAGCAGACCUUAUUUUGGCAAAACUCCCACUGAAGUCAGUGAGGGUUUUGUGAGAGUAAGGACUGCAUGAUUUGUCUCACAGUUCCUGCUGAUUAUUUGGAGUAUGAUUGCUAACACCAGAGCUCCUCACCGAGUUUGACGUUACCGCGGCACUGUGGCUGACAGCAUUGUUGUUUUUUUUUUGUCACAAUUGUGAAAUUCAGUGUAGUGUGACUGUGAAAAAUACCCUUUUCACCCAAUGACCUUGGAAUAAGAUGGGCUGCCAUCAGGUUUUGGAGACUUACUGUGGAACUAACGCUAAAGAAAGAAAGACACUGAGAAUGUGGAGAACCCCUUUUAAAUUCAUACUGAAGAUUUAAAGAACUCUCUAAACAAGCUGAAAGUAGGUCAAAUUCUGAUUGUUAAAAAACAACUAAUCAAUUAGGUGUUGUCAAGACAGGUGGUACCUUGUGAUAAAAUGUUGAUUCACGUAGUAUUUCCUCACUGAACCCUGAGACGUCCCUGGAAAAAAAAAAUUCUGUUUCCAUUACAGAUUGCGAUAGAGAAAAGCAGCUGAAGAGUUAACAGCGUUCCUUCAGCAGGAGACCUAGUGCUACAAAAGAUAAUGUAGGGCAAACGUUGAGAAUGAGUUCUUUGUCUUUUUCACUUAAAUCUGAGCAAAUCCAGGCAGGACCAAUAAGAGAAAGCAGACCUGCGAGCAUCCGUGCUGUCCUCGUCCACAACCAAGAUGACGGUGUUCCAGUUUCCCACACCACCCCGGCCAUGUGUCAUGACCUUUCUCCCAAGGUGACACCUUUCAGGCGACAGCACUUCAGCCUCUGCGGCCUCCCAGUCGUGUCUGCCUGCCUUCUCGUGGACGCUGACUCCAGGCUCACCAGACACUCCCAGAGUGGUGAUUUAGGAACUGGAGCGAUACUGCCAAGUUGCUCAGCUUAGAGCACUUGCUGAGGACAGCCACUGGGUAUAACAGAGAAUUUUCAGUCACUGUUGAUUUGGGCCAGACAAGAAACAGGGAUCUAAGGAAAAAAAAACUCUCUACUUCAUUUCCAGCUCCUGAACCAGCAAGUCAUUUGGAGAGGAGUUUUUCAUGCUCAUCAUAAGGCCGUUUUCUAGGCUCUGAACUGUUCUAAAUACUGCUGUAUUGUGCUUUGUAACAGUGAUCAGCAUCACAGCUGUAGGAAAGCCUUAUCAAGAAAGCUCUGGAAAUCACUACACUUAAACAUAAUAAAACACCAUAGCAGCACCUAACUGCGAUGUCUGUAGGCAACAAUACAUGACUUCACUAGUAGUAAUAUCUGUGAGAAUAAAGGUGUUCAACUCUAUGUGCAAAUCUCCUGUGGCUCUAGGGACAGUUGACGUCAACGUGACUAACUAAUGCAAAGCUGCACAACACUACAGGAGUUUUUAUAGCUGGAAUACUUUCUCAUCCAGUUCUGGAUAAAGAUAAGGAGAAGCCUUUUGAAGCAAAGUAAGCUGCUGUUCAUGAGUGACUGCUCUGAUCGGUGUUCCAAAUGGAAGAAAUUUGGUAAGUGCUGAGACCCCAAGUUUAACUGUGCACAUGUUUUAUUUAUUUCAGCCUUCACAAGGGAAAGGCAGGUAUUUUGCUCUGUGGUAUGUUUAAACUUAUUAAUUAACGAGCUAGACUAUUAGUAAUAACAA